UAGGGAAUCUUCGGCAAUGGACGAAAGUCUGACCGAGCAACGCCGCGUGAGUGAAGAAGGUUUUCGGAUCGUAAAACUCUGUUGUUAGAGAAGAACAAGGACGUUAGUAACUGAACGUCCCCUGACGGUAUCUAACCAGAAAGCCACGGCUAACUACGUGCCAGCAGCCGCGGUAAUACGUAGGUGGCAAGCGUUGUCCGGAUUUAUUGGGCGUAAAGCGAGCGCAGGCGGUUUCUUAAGUCUGAUGUGAAAGCCCCCGGCUCAACCGGGGAGGGUCAUUGGAAACUGGGAGACUUGAGUGCAGAAGAGGAGGGUGGAAUUCCAUGUGUAGCGGUGAAAUGCGUAGAUAUAUGGAGGAACACCAGUGGCGAAGGCGGCUCUCUGGUCUGUAACUGACGCUGAGGCUCGAAGGCGUGGGGAGCAAACAGG
rnacentral:rRNA from 1 species